CCUACGUGUGGCAGCAGUGAGGAAUAUUGGUCAAUGGGCGCGAGCCUGAACCAGCCAAGUAGCGUGAAGGAUGACUGCCCUACGGGUUGUAAACUUCUUUUAUAAAGGAAUCAAGUGAGGCACGUGUGCCUUUUUGUAUGUACUUUAUGAAUAAGAAUCGGCUAACUCCGUGCCAGCAGCCGCGGUAAUACGGAGGAUCCGAGCGUUAUCCGGAUUUAUUGGGUUUAAAGGGAGCGUAGAUGGGUUGUUAAGUCAGUUGUGAAAGUUUGAGGCUCAACCGUAAAAUUGCAAUUGUUACUGGCAGUCUUGAGUACAGUUGAGGUAGGCGGAAUUCGUGGUGUAGCGGUGAAAUGCUUAGAUAUCACGAAGAACUCCGAUUGCGAAGGCAGCUUACUAAACUGCCACUGACAUUGAUGCUCGAAAGUGUGGGUAUCAAACAGGAUUAGAUACCCGAGUAGUC
rnacentral:rRNA from 1 species